rnacentral:rRNA from 1 species
UCGGCUUAGAGUUUGAUCAUGGCUCAGAUUGAACGCUGGCGGCAGGCUUAACACAUGCAAGUCGAACGGUAGAAGAGCUUGCUCUUGACGAGUGGCGGACGGGUGAGUAAUGUAUGGGGAUCUGCCAAAUGGAAGGGGACAACAGUUGGAAACGACUGCUAAUACCGUAUAAUGUCGCGAGACCAAAGUGUUUAGACAUGCCAUUUGAUGAACCCAUAUGGGAUUAGCUAGUAGGUAGGGUAAAGGCCUACCUAGGCGACGAUCUCUAGCUGGUCUGAGAGGAUGACCAGCCACACUGGAACUGAGACACGGUCCAGACUCCUACGGGAGGCAGCAGUGGGGAAUAUUGCACAAUGGGGGAAACCCUGAUGCAGCCAUGCCGCGUGUAUGAAGAAGGCCUUAGGGUUGUAAAGUACUUUCGGUAAUGAGGAAGGUAACUAUUAACAUAGUUAAUUGACGUUAAUUACAGAAGAAGCACCGGCUAACUCCGUGCCAGCAGCCGCGGUAAUACGGAGGGUGCGAGCGUUAAUCGGAAUGACUGGGCGUAAAGGGCAUGUAGGCGGAUGAUUAAGUUAGGUGUGAAAGCCCCGGGCUCAACCUGGGAAUUGCACUUAAAACUGGUUAUCUAGAGUAUUGUAGAGGAAGGUAGAAUUCCACGUGUAGCGGUGAAAUGCGUAGAGAUGUGGAGGAUACCGGUGGCGAAGGCGGCCUUCUGGACAAUACUGACGCUGAGAUGCGAAAGCGUGGGGAGCAAACAGGAUUAGAUACCCUGGUAGUCCACGCUGUAAACGAUGUCGAUUUGGAGUUUGGGGCAU